GAUCUUUAACAGUGAGAUAUUUCAUUUUUAAACCCUCAUCAAGGUGAUGACGGAGAAAUAUCAUUGCCUUAGCACGGUUUUGAUUCGAUGCUUGAUUUUUUUCUUGGAUGGUGUCUGCCAAACCCAUCGCAUCAAGAUGAAUUUCUGCAUCAAGUACCCAUGAUAGAUAGCCUUUUCCCGAUAUGUCUAAAGCAAGAAAUUCAAGUUUAGAAAGAUUUGACAUUAUUUAAGAAAGAAAAAUUUAUACCUUCGAGGCUUUUAAAGUCUUUACUUGAACUGGCAGAGACUC
rnacentral:lncRNA from 1 species